rnacentral:lncRNA from 1 species
AUGGUCACCAUCUCUGAACCGGACCCUGGACUCUCUGAGGAACAUGAGGACACGUCUUUGGACCGGGAGGAGACCAGGAAGAGAAGAUUUGAUCUAUGGUUGUCCAUCACUCUCAUUGUGAGCCUCGGACUGCUGAUUAUUCUCACGAUCUCCCUGCGCCUCAGUUCAGUGAUGCCCACGGAGGAGGUGGAGGAGGCCCCCAGCAUCACAGAGUUCCACUCUCCUACCCACGUGUUGCCCGUGGGCCAAACGACCCGCUUCACCUGCAAUGCCAGCGGCACGCCGGAGCCCACAGUAGAGUGGCUCCACAACGGCAGGCCCCUGAAGAUGAAUGGCACAGACAACCAAUCAGAGGCCUGGUUGGAGAGGGGGUUCCUCUUCGUCAGAGGGGUGAGGUAUGGCGUGAACACGGUCUCCUGCAUGGCAAGCAACAGCGCUGGCACGGCCAAUCACACCGCUGAGCUGCUUGUCUUUGGUAAGUUCUGGAUCCAAGGAGAGAUGCUUUGAAGUUUUCGUAAUGUUCUCGAGGUGAGUGUAUAUAUAUAUAUAUAUAUAUAUAUAUAUAUAUAUAUAUAUAUAUAUAUAUAUAUCACUUUAUUUAUUUAUAUUAUCACUUGUGUCACCCCCUGCUUAACCAAAACGUAGUGAACCCAAAACCCUGAUAUGAACCGAACCACGAAUUCUGUGAACCGUUCCCUAAUUUUUGUGGGUGUCAUGACGUGACAGAGGUGUUUUUUAAGUCCAUUGACGUUUAGUUUCUACCGGAAGCAGACAACCAGCCAUGUGUGUUGUCCAAUGGAACCUAGCCUCAAACCACUGAACAACAAACGAUAACUCAGACGUGCAAACUUAAUGGACAAGUGUAAGGAAUGUGAAAUAGGACAGGAAUAGGAACUAGAAAUCAUACAAUUAUUGAAGAUUGUGUACUUGUACUGCCAUUACACACACAUUUCACAUACUGUGUGUGUAUAUUAGUAUGUUUGUUUAUCUAUGUGUAUGUACGUUAAAGUAUCUGUACAUAGGUAUACGUAUGUUUACGUAUGUGUACCAGUGGCGGCUGGUAGUUUUUAAAUUGAGGGAGGAAGGACUGCGCGCUUGGUUGCUAUUGGCCUGCUUGCACUGUUAGUGUUAUGAGCGGGGUGAGGGGACCCAAGGGCUGGACACAGGGAGGCAGAGACGGGGUAAAGGAAAGAGGGUUUACUGGGACACGGGGUAGAUGACAAGCUGGGGCGAAGCAAGCAGGAGACAUAGGUUCAGCAUGAUGUAUGGGGGGGUAUUCGUUAGUAUGACAUCGAUAUAUAAUAUUCUAAAGUCAGAAGCCGAAACCCAUGGCAUUUGGUGAUAGUUCAAACACAAUUUAAUGUGAAUACCAGAGUUCCCGUUGUCCGGUAAUUACCGGUCUUUGACCGGAAAAAAAUGAGGAGGACCGAAAAUUCUAAAUGUCUCGGAUGGAAAUAAGGAAAUAAGGCCCCGUCCACACGGAGCCGAAACGGGCGAAAACGAUCCGGUUUCGUUUUAUGCGGAAUAUUCAAGGCGCUGGUUCUCCACAGAAAAAAGUAGAGCGCAUCAACCCUGCGCCGCUGCGCGCAUACAGCAUGCGCGCUGUAUACAAACAUUCAGGCCACGUUUAGACGUAGCAGGGUAUUUAUAGAAACAAAUAUUUCCCCCCCUCCGUUUUCAAAAAUAACAUUGUGCACACAACAUCGUUUUCAAAAAAGUUGUCGUUUACAUCAAAACGGAUAAAUACGCCGUUGGGACAUUAUAACUAUGCCAAACCUAUGGGCGGCAGUGUAGGGAGAAGGAUAAAGCCAUGCAAGCCAAUCAGAAUCCUCAGAAUCAACAACAACGAAUAACACAAGCGUCUUCCUGUAACAAACAAACUGUAAACAUAGGGCGCUCAUAUGACGUUAAGCAUUUCCUGGUGCAUAAUGUGAAGUUUCAGAACCUAAAACCCUGUUUCUACCCGUUGACACGACAACACGUAACCGGCGUUUUCAGAAAUCUCCACUUUGGCCGGAGUUUUUAGAAAUGAUCGUUUUCUGUGACAAAAACUGCGUUUUCGUGUAAAUGAGAGGCCAAACCGUGUGAAAAUAUCUGCGUUUUCCCUUCGUGUAAACGGGGCCUCAGUCACGAGGAGAUUCAACCUUUUAAAUUGAGCAGGAAUACUUUUGAAUGUGUUCAUUUGAAUUGUGUUUAAAUAUGCUACAGUAGUCAUUUGUUUAGCCAAUUAAUGUAAAACAAUGAGGGUUUUGAUUGUAGCGUAGCCUGUGUUAUAAAAUAAAUAAGUUGCUACAUUUCGUGCACUCGCUCAAAUUGAUCGCUAUAGACUACCAUAGGUUUAUGAACUAAAGGGCGGCCAGCUAGCGAAAGCCGGCAGCAAGCUUUGCGGAGUAACGGUAUUUAACAACCAUGACAAAUCAAAAUAUGAUCACAUACUUCUUCUUCUUCUUUAUAUAGCCUGCCUAUACAUUUUUUUAAGUGCAAUAAACACAGACAAUAUCCGACAGAUUUUUUUCCAAUUUCACCGGUAAAAUGAAACCUUCCCGGUCACAUGACCGGCACCAAUUUCUUCUAGCGGAAACACUGGUGAAUACGACUCAAAAUGAUACAAUGAACACACAUAAAAUCAUCA